AACAACUUGCACUGAGUAUGACCAACAUGAGAAAUCACUUGGAUGUCUAUUCACUCAUCAGUGGUCUUCUCGAUACUACAGUAGUGUGAGUGAUCCUUUCACCUACGGUGCAUCGGCUAUUCGUAGUGAGGCUACUAUAGCUUGACUGCAUGUUCACUUGAUCCCUAGCUAUUUGGAUCCUUGCUGUGUAUGUUGAAUACGGUGGGUUCAGAUUCACUGUUAGGAGUAGGAUGCACCUAGAUAGAAUAUAUCGAUCUUGAUAGAAAAGGAGAAGUCCUAUGUGAUUCAUGAGACUAAGUUCAGAACGUCUUUGACUAAAGCAAGUG
rnacentral:lncRNA from 1 species